GGAUGAACGCUGGCGGCGUGCUUGAUACAUGCAAGUCGAACGGAGAGUGUAGCAAUAUACUUUUAGUGGCGAACGGGUGAGUAACGCGUUGGUGACCUGCCCCGAAGCGAGGGAUAACAGUUCGAAAGAACUGCUAAUACCUCAUGUGAUCACCGGUUUUAGAAUCUGGUGAUUAAAGGUGAAAAUCACUUCGGGAGGGGCCUGCGUCCCAUCAGCUAGUUGGUAAGGUAAUGGCUUACCAAGGCGAUGACGGGUAGGGGACCUGAGAGGGUGGCCCCCCACAAUGGAACUGAAACACGGUCCAUACACCUACGGGUGGCAGCAGUAGGGAAUAUUGCAAAUGGGCGAAAGCCUGAUGUAGCAACGCCGCGUGUGCGAUGAAGGUCUUCGGAUUGUAAAGCACUUUUUGGAGGGAUGAGGAAGGACAGUACCUCCAGAAUAAGCCUCGGCUAACUACGUGCCAGCAGCCGCGGUAACACGUAGGAGGCAAGCGUUAUUCGGAUUUACUGGGCGUAAAGCGCGUGCAGGCGGUUUGGAAAGUUGGAUGUGAAAGCUCCUGGCUCAACUGGGAGAGGUCGUUCAAAACUUCCAGACUUGAGAGUGGUAGAGGGAGGUGGAAUUCCGGGUGUAGUGGUGAAAUGCGUAGAUAUCCGGAGGAACACCAGUGGCGAAAGCGGCCUCCUGGACCACUUCUGACGCUCAGACGCGAAAGCUAGGGUAGCAAACGGGAUUAGAUACCCUGGUAGUCCACGCCCUAAACGAUGAUCACUGGGUGUUCGGGGAGCGAUCUCUGAGUACCGAAGCUAACGCGUGAAGUGAUCCGCCUGGGGAGUACGGUCGCAAGAUUAAAACUCAAAGGAAUUGACGGGGACCCGCACAAGCGGUGGAUGAUGUGGAUUAAUUCGAUGCAACGCGAACAACCUUACCUACCCUUGACAUGUCCGGAAGCCCGGUGAGAGCUGGGGGUGCCCGAAAGGGAACCGGAACACAGGUGGUGCAUGGUUGUCGUCAGCUCGUGUCGUGAGAUGUUGGGUUAAGUCCCGCAACGAGCGCAACCCUUAUCCUUAGUUGCCAGCAUAUAAGGUGGGCACUCUAAGGAGACUGCCGGUGAUAAACCGGAGGAAGGUGGGGAUGACGUCAAAUCAUCAUGCCCCUUAUGUCUUGGGCUACACACGUGCUACAAUGGUCGGUACAACGGGGAGCGAAGGAGUGAUCCGGAGCAAAUCCCAAUAAACCGAUCCCAGUUCGGAUUGCAGGCUGCAACUCGCCUGCAUGAAGUCGGAGUUGCUAGUAAUCGCGAAUCAGCACGUCGCGGUGAAUGCGUUCCCGGGUCU
rnacentral:rRNA from 1 species